UACAGAGGGUGCGAGCGUUAAUCGGAAUUACUGGGCGUAAAGCGCGCGUAGGUGGCUAUGCAAGUCGGAUGUGAAAUCCCCGGGCUCAACCUGGGAACUGCAUUCGAGACUGCAUUGCUCGAGUAUGGGAGAGGAGCGCGGAAUUCCCGGUGUAGCGGUGAAAUGCGUAGAGAUCGGGAGGAAGGCCGGUGGCGAAGGCGGCGCUCUGGACCGUAACUGACGCUGAGACACGAAAGCGUGGGGAGCAAACAGG
rnacentral:rRNA from 1 species